GGGUUAAGUCCCGCAACGAGCGCAACCCUUGUCUUUAGUUGCCAUCAUUAAGUUGGGCACUCUAAAGAGACUGCCGGUGUCAAACCGGAGGAAGGUGGGGAUGACGUCAAGUCCUCAUGGCCUUAUGACCAGGGCUACACACGUACUACAAUGGCAGGUACAAAGGGCAGCCACUUAGCGAUAAGGCGCGAAUCCCGUAAAACCUGUCUCAGUCCGGAUUGGAGUCUGCAACUCGACUCCAUGAAGUUGGAAUCGCUAGUAAUCGCAGAUCAGCACGCUGCGGUGAAUACGUUCCCGGGCCUU
rnacentral:rRNA from 1 species